GCGUCGUUUAGGUGGCCUUAUUCUGGUUUCUACGAAAUUCAGAAGACUUCUGCAGAGGUCUGGAUAGGGUGAUGAAAAGAAGAAACCAGCAAGGCUUGAUUCUGCUGAAGCUCCCUUUAGAGUUGUGCUCUUGGGCCUUGUUGCUGACUAGGCUGGCCAGCCAGCUUUUCCAACCUGUCCAAUGAAUAUGAAGAUUGCUUCUGUUUCUAGCAGAGAAUGUAACCAGGAGUCGAGG
rnacentral:lncRNA from 1 species